UGUCGACUAGUAUGCGAUCGCGCGACGCAUUUCUCGAAGGUAAGCACUGCGACCGAUAUUCACUUAGGCCCACCAGGCGAUCUGGAUUGAGGGCGAGUUCCUUCGGGUAUUCGGAACCAGUCCAGUCGAUUAGUGGUGGGAUCUGUGUAUCGAGCGCCUACUGUUAUGCCGGCGUAAAUUGCUCGUUCGAGUAAUGGAUAGGUGACUAAUUAACUGGUACCUGCUCGCAGGGACUGGCGAAAUCUAGUUGCCUUAGAAGUUACCGACGACGCAUAAAGGCAUAUUGGCGUCGGCAGUGUCAGUGUCGGCCACCCGUCCAACCCGUCUUGAAACACGGACCAAGGAGUCUAACAUAUGCGCGAGCUAAUGAGUGGAAAACUCAAAGGCGCAAUAAAAGUAAACGCUGUUUCGGACAGCUCAGAUACGAUCCCUCAGUCUGCGUACUGUUGGGCGCAGUAUCGUCCCGUCUCGACCGCAUGUCGGUAGGGCGGCGAAAGAGUGCAUACGUUGGGACCCGAAAGAUGGUGAACUAUGCCUGAGCAGAGCGAAGCCAGAGGAAACUCUGGUGGAGGUUCGUAGCGGUUCUGACGUGCAAAUCGAUCGUCAGA
rnacentral:rRNA from 1 species